rnacentral:rRNA from 1 species
AUUGAACGCUGGCGGCAGGCCUAACACAUGCAAGUCGAGCGUGAAAGGGCUUCGGCCUGAGUAAAGCGGCGGACGGGUGAGUAACGCGUAGGAAUCUACCUGGUAGUGGGGGAUAACGUUCCGAAAGGGACGCUAAUACCGCAUACGUUCCGAGGAAGAAAGCAGGGGACCUUCGGGCCUUGUGCUAUCAGAUGAGCCUGCGUCCGAUUAGCUAGUUGGUGGGGUAAAGGCCUACCAAGGCGACGAUCGGUAACUGGUCUGAGAGGAUGAUCAGACCCACAGGAACGUAGACACGGUGCGGACUCCGAGGGCAGGCAACAGUGGGGAAUAUAUGACAAGAGGCGCAAGCCUGAUACAGCCAAGCCGCGUGUGUGAAGAAGGCCUUCGGGUUGUAAAGCACUUUAAGCGGGGAGGAAGGCCUGAUGGCUAAUAUCCAUCAGGAUUGACGUUACCCGCAGAAUAAGCACCGGCAAACUUCGUGCCAGCCGCCGCCGUAAUAC